UCACAGUUAAAAACAUAUCUCGCCGGCAAUUAUGGCCUCCUUGAGUCCUGCUUCUUUGUUAACAAACAUCUGAUUAAGCUCGCGUUGUAGUCACGCCACCCCUUUAAAAAUCGGUACAUGCUAAUUAACAAUCCAAUACAUGCUAGCUGUGUGCUCUGUAAACACUUCUGAGGCGAAUCAUUAAUUCGUUAGUGAUACAGACUUGAACAGUAAACUAUUCUAUAAAUUGCGGACUCACAAGAAAUUAAGCUACAAGCUAGCCUGAACACCCGGCAUUUUUUCGGUAUAGAGGCUAAUAGACGAUAUUGUAACUAUUAAACGCAAAAUUCCGCUCGUGACUAGAUGAUUUUCGCAGGUUGGGCGUGAGCAUACAGAAACACACAGUCAUGGCGACCGUGUUAUAAGGGCGGUCGUUUGGUUUCCAGGCCUGUGUUGUAACUGUGUAAUGGAUGUGGUACAACAUUAACAGGUGGACGGAGUGUUACUACCUCGACCGAUUCACGAUAGAGACGAGUUUACAAGAAAUAUAAGAUACUCAAGAAGAUAAUAAAUAAAAAAAGCCCAGCACUCCAUGCAAACAUUUUUGACUGAGGCUCCCCUGCUUAUCCAGCAGCUACAGAGCAACAUAUUUGGAGACAUUUCAGGUCACCUCAUAAUAAACUCAUCGCCCUCUAUGGUCCGUCGUUUCCUGUUACUUAGUUACCAGUUGCCAUGAUUUGCCUGGGCUGCUUGUGUUUC